GAUGAAGAACGUAGCGAAAUGCGAUAAGUAAUGCGAAUUGCAGAAUUUCCGUGAGUCAUCGAAUCUUUGAACGCACAUUGCGCCCCCUGGUAUUCCGGGGGGCAUGCCUGUUCGAGCGUCAUUUCACCACUCAAGCCUCGCUUGGUAUUGGGCAACGCGGUCCGCCGCGUGCCUCAAAUCGUCCGGCUGGGUCUUCUGUCCCCUAAGCGUUGUGGAAACUAUUCGCUAAAGGGUGUUCGGGAGGCUACGCCGUAAAACAACCCCAUUUCUAAGGUUGACCUCGGAUCAGGUAGGGAUACCCGCUGAACUUAAGCAUAUCAAUAAGCGGAGGA
rnacentral:misc_RNA from 1 species